AUUGAACGCUGGCGGCAGGCUUAACACAUGCAAGUCGAGCGGGGUGAUGGUGCUUGCACUAUCACUUAGCGGCGGACGGGUGAGUAAUGCUUAGGAAUCUGCCCAUUAGGGGGGGACAACAUCUCGAAAGGGAUGCUAAUACCGCAUACGUCCUACGGGAGAAAGCAGGGGAUCACUUGUGACCUUGCGCUAAUAGAUGAGCCUAAGUCGGAUUAGCUAGUUGGUGGGGUAAAGGCCUACCAAGGCGACGAUCUGUAGCGGGUCUGAGAGGAUGAUCCGCCACACUGGGACUGAGACACGGCCCAGACUCCUACGGGAGGCAGCAGUGGGGAAUAUUGGACAAUGGGGGGAACCCUGAUCCAGCCAUGCCGCGUGUGUGAAGAAGGCCUUAUGGUUGUAAAGCACUUUAAGCGAGGAGGAGGCUCUUUUGGUUAAUACCCAAGAUGAGUGGACGUUACUCGCAGAAUAAGCACCGGCUAACUCUGUGCCAGCAGCCGCCGUAAAAC
rnacentral:rRNA from 1 species